rnacentral:lncRNA from 1 species
AUUACUGGAACUUUUAAAGGUAUGCGCUGUGGAUCAGAUUUCUGUUGGGUCAUCUCUCCAUUCCUCGGGAGGUGGUUUUGACUAUUUUCAGUUUGAACUAGGAAUUUCAAACCAGUUACUGGGAUGAAAGGGAUAAAUUUAGGCUUUCAGCCAACUUUCAGAGGGUAAGGGCUCAUAGUUUGCUAUCUUUAUUUUGUUAUUCAACCUUCACUGUUAUUUCAGAAUAUCUUGAAUUCUGUCUCAGACUUUACACAUGCUAAUGAGGCAUGAUCUGCAUAGAGAGGUAGCAUUUUUAAUUGGUUUGCAUGCUACAGGUAGGAAACAUACAGAACUCUGCAGUAUGGGCUCCAACAUAUGUUGUUUCCUUAUUCCUUUAGACUAGCACAGGUUUUGAAAAGCUGGCAAAGUGUGGGGUUAGUUCAGGUACCACUUUUAGCACCACACCAUGUGGGAAGGCUCUUAACAAGAGGCACUUUAAAAGGUUGUAGUUUGACUCUCACAGAAAUGAAUACGAAUUUCUCCAUUUCUCUCUUCUGGGUGCAAUGCAGGUCUCCAUUGGGUGAUAAUGGUGACACUGUACCAUAGCAUCUUCCACUGAAACUGAAAUAUUGAAUGACUAUUGCAUAGAGACAAUGGGAAGAAAUUGUAUGGGCUAUGGAGAAGGAAGAAGCUCAGAACAUUAAACAGUUUACAAAAAGGUGCACCUUUCAUUGGCCUCAGGCAGCUACACGGCUACAUCCAAGAUUAAAAUACAUCAUUUUUCCCUUGCAGGUAGCUACGGUUACCUACCUUGCCCUAAGGAGCGAGAACAUCCUGUGGGUGCAGUGGUCCGAGGCCUGGCUGCUGGGUGUGCUUCCUUUUGAUGGGCUCUGGAUAGAAAGUCGAUUGCUUUUUAAGGCUGUGUUUGGCCAUGUUAAUCAGAGGACUGUGUUAUGCUCUGUGGUAGCCCCGUUAGCAGUUCCACCACCGGCACAGCAGGUAGAGAGGCUGAGUUCAGCCGGCUGGAUACAGAGGAGUCGAGCCCUGUCCCCAGCUCCGCGUUCCUCCAGCCACUGGCUGGCUGAGGCAUGGGCUGCCCGGGCCAUACAGCGGCCUGGGAGAAGCUGCAAGGCGACCAGAGACUCUUCAGGAAACAGGAGGAGAUGUCUGGAAGGGCACGCUUUGCCUCAGAGAUCAGAAAGUAGAGAAGAAAAAUCAGAGCGGCCAACUGCCUGUUACAGCAAAUUGAUUGCACGCACUAAAAGGGCAAAGUAGAGUGAACAUUAGGCAUAAUUGAGAAAAGGCCAAAUGUUGAAUGAAUUUGCCUGUUUUCAGUAUGGAGAAGGAUGUCCAGGAGAUUGAACCCUCCAUUUACAUAUUGGAAAUGAAAAUGAUUCAACAGAAAUUGAAAAACGCAAACAGCAAAACAACCGCCAGCUGCUGCAUGCGAGCAAGUCAG